CAGCUCGCCGCCCCCCGUGGCGCGGUGCCGGCCACAUGGGCGGGGUGGGCACUGGCCAGGCACCGGAGCAGUGGAUGCCAUGCAUUCUGGAGUCACGAGACGCAGCGACUACACCAUGCGCCUCAGCCUCCUGCUGGACACAGGACCCGCCCUGCCGGACACCCGCAGACACUCUUCCCUGCCGUACCCUGCCCACCCUGCCGCCGGGGGGAGCCCUCUGUCGCCUACCCUACAGGGUUAACACACCUAACCUGCCACCACAUCUCUGCCGCUGCCCUUCCUGGACAUUAGUCUUCCCUGCCGCCUGUCACCUUGCGCUCACCACCCCUACAACCCUCCCUCGCUGCCCACACCCUGCCACUCGAGUGUCCUCCCUUGCCGCCCCCCUUCCACGCCACCCACAUCCUGCUGCCUGCGGGUUCCUUCCUUCCCUCCUUAGACGCCUUUUUCAGCGUCCUCGCCUCACCAUGUUCACGAUAGACAACAUCCUCGUGAGACCCGCCAAGAGGACAGUCCACCCUCCUGUAGUAUCAUCACCACCACCCUCAGAAACACACCUCCAGUCAGUCCUCUCCUCUCCCCACACCUUUUACACAAUCCCCGUUCAGCAGUGCAGGAGUCCCACCACCACCACCUCCACCAUCACCCUCCCGAGUCCGACCACCUCCACCUGUAAACUCUGGCAAAAUAAUACGAGACUAGAUUCCUCUCCUUAUUCUCUUCCCUACACCGCCCCGCACUCUGCCUCCAAUCCCUCCUUCGCGUCCCUCUACCCCUCUGCAUCCCCGCCCGUUGUCCUGUCUUCCCCUGCACCCUCAAUUUUCUCUCAGCCAAGUCCGCUUCCGUUGUACUGGGACAGCUCAGAGGCAUGUUUAGAAGCCUACAGAUCUACUCACGACUAUGGGAAAGCCUCGGAAAUAUCUCCUGAGUGGAUAAUCUUUACUUCUAACCCUGACGAGCAAAUCCUUGAGCCUGAGUGGAUACGAGGUCUACCUGAUGAUAAUGCCAAUACUCAUAAUACUAACAGGGUGCCUCAUGUCAAAAUCCCUGAGGCAGACUACGAGUGGUUACGCUUUGCUUCUACCCCUGAAACUCACGCCCUUACACCAAGAUCUGAGUGGCUACGAGGUCUUGCUAACACUGACAAGCUGCCCCCUGCGUGCCCUGGUAUGUCCCGUCCUCACAGUGCUCACAGGUCAAAGAUACGUGGCACUCAAGGCUGUGGUAUUGUUCCAGAACCCAUAACGCGGUGCACAAGACUUCCCAGAUUCUCCAGCGUAAGCGGUGACCUAGAGCCUGUUGUCCCAGUGUCUAUAGAUAACCACUGCGUCCUCUACCACCGUUCUGCCUACCAGAGGGAACACGCAUCAACUCCCUACUGCCACGGUCAACAGCUGAUGCUUCGAAGGGACGGCACUUUCCUGCAGUCUAACGCCGCCUCUGCCUGCCCGUCGCCUCUCCCUUCUCUGCACCCCGCCCACCCUUACCAUCCAUUGAGGUCACAGAUGAGGACGUCGCUGGCUGUCCCUUCUACAGUAUCUUCACAUGGUACAUUCCUGCAGCCUCCCGCCCAUAAUAUACAGCCUAGUGCCGCCUCAGCCACCCCGUCGCCUAUCCCACGCCCUGAAUACGCCCGAGACUUUCAACCCACCUAGCCACAGCAUCCUUCAGGGUCACAUAUAAGGGUGUCGAUGCCUCCGCUUCCUUCAAUCUCAUGCAGUGCCUUCCUUCAGCAUCCUACCCUCGCCAGACCUCAGAGCCCCUCCCUAGACACUCACACAACUCCUCAGUCACUCUACCCUACCCUGGACCUACUGCAGGGGCCCCAGAAGCCAGGCUAUCAUCCAGCUAACUCAUCACGUCUCUCAUCUAUCCACACUGCACUAUUCAACCCUCGCAGCGCCACCCUCCCGCCUAUUCACCCUGCCCAGUUGCACCAUCCCCAGGGGCUCUACCAUCACCCAGUCACCAGGUUCAAGACUACAGAGGAGGUGGGGUUCUUCAGGGCUUCGAGGUUACCCGGAGAGCUGCCUGCCUACCCCGUUACCUGCCCGCCCGGCCACCCCCACACGGCGUGGCUGUCAACAGGUGUGGUGGUGGCGGUGGGCUCCGGACGCACACGGCGGUGCGGUGGUCAGGUGCAGUUCACGGCGCAGCAGACCCGCCAGCUGGAGACGUGGUUCUCGCAGUACAAGUACAUCACGGCGCCCCAGAGGAAGACCAUCGCCAGGGAACUGAGCCUGCACGAGAAGCAGGUGAUGACGUGGUACCAGAACAAGCAAGCCAAGUCAAGGAAUGCGUGCCCGGCAGUGCCCCCUUCAACACCUCAAGACUUCAACACCACUCCGCCAUCAUCACCACCACCAUAAUCAACACCAAUACGUGGCUCCUAGUGACUCUUCCUGAGUCUCAGUUCAACACCACCACCACCACCGUCACCAUAUCCAACAUCAACACCAAAAUCAACAUCACACCGCAAAAGGAAGACUAGAGAUGGAAAUGCUUGCGGGGAUCUUGUAAAAUGACCUCCUCCUCCUCCUCCUCCUGUUCCCAAGGUUCACCAAAGUUAGUAAGACAAAUCUACAAGUCACGUGAUUCUUUACUCAGUUUUGUGUUAGCGUUACGUUCUACAGACGGACGAAAGAUGGACUCACACAUAACAAUGACCUUAACUACUACUACUACUACCCUCCUCCUCCUUCUCCUCCUCUCACUUCCUGCAGGUGCCCACUACAGCUGGUUAGUCUACGCUCUAGGCUACGCUCCCGUCACUACGCCCAGGGUUGCCAGAUUUGGUCAUGAACAGUCUGUUUGGAGAUGAAUCAGCCCGGCCCUGAACUGACUGCACUGCUGACUGACUGGAUAGCGGCGCAGCCUUGAAAUUAACAACAUUCUGCUAAUUCUCAGGCAAAAGAUUUAUAUCCCCUUAUACUAUGUAAUGCUGGUGAGGAAUUAAUAAAUAAAUAUAUAAAUAAAUAAAUAGAUAAUCUUUCUUUAAGAAAUAAGAAGGUAAGGAGAGUUGAGGGAACUUGCUAACGCACCGAGGCUCAGAUCUGACAACCCUGGCCGCACCACGCCGCCAGGCCACACCUGGCUGUGCGCGGGGCGCGUCGCUCCCCACCUGGCGGUCCUCGCGUCGUCAGUUGUAGAGUGUCGUGGCGUCUUCCAGGCAGGAGGCUCCCUCGCCGCCCAGGCUGUACUCUGAGGGGUCGUUGUCGCUGCCAUUGUGUGAGGAGGCCGGAGACGCGGCCGUCACGUCCACGUCCAGGGAGCUCACCGCCCCGCCAUCCUCGCAGCCGCCCUGCAACAAGCACUGCGUCAGGCCGCUGCUCAACAAGGGACACACUCAUACAGUAUAAUCAUAUAGAGGCAGCAGUGCGGGAGUCAUGAGCUGCUAGGCAAUGACCGCUACACAUGUACGCGGGGUCCUGUCAGGGCCGCACCACACUGAACUUUUACCAUUAAAUUUUAACUAAUAUAUGGGUAUAAAGUGCUGCAGGAUUAUUUUCCAAAGAUAAACGCUGCACCCCUAGCGUGGGACCCCCGAGGUGGCGGCGCAUGAAUGGACCUAAUAAUUAUGAUACGUCCCAUAUGCGUUGAUAAGACUGAAACAAGGGCGAGAUAGGAAGAAUUCAGUGCCAGAUUAGCUACGCCAGGUCUCGGAACCUACUGACAGCGAAAGGGUAGUACAACACUAUAAUCACUACGUCAGCGCUGGGCUCAGGGAAUACGCGUGACCAAGGACCACAUUCUUAAACCUUUCAUCGCCCAAGCACAUACAUUUAACAAGGCUUUCGUAGGAUUUGUGGGCAUAUCCAUGGAUAGCUGAAUGACCCUGGUGGUAAUCUGACAUAGUUUCUGCACCAUGAACGUAAAGAAACACACCUGGAGACGCGUUUAACUUAUUUUUUGGCCUUUAGAAAUUAUCGAUAUAAGAGAAGGAAGCACACACUCGCACAGGCCAGCCAAUAGCGUUUGCCAGCUUACCGUACGCUCCUUCCUGUACUGGCGCCGUCAUCUCAGGCUGUUAAACAAAGCCUCCUGCCUUUUUACACUUAGCCUCCCUAUAUGUUAUCACUCCAUGUCUAAAUACCUAUCCUAAACACUGAAUCGAAGCCCAUAUAAAGCCUUUACAUGAGCUUUCCGCUGACUGACACCCAAUAAGCGCUACCACGCAACAAAGGAACGUAAUCUGGUAGAGAAUGUGCGGUGGUACUACUUGGGUUAUACGUAGCAAUACAGCCAUGAGUGUAAGGUCCAUAUCAAACGUACCGGUCACCCAUUAUGACUAUUUAACCGGGUUCUCAUGGGUGAUUAUCCCGUUCAAGAUGCAUAAGCCGUGUACAACUAUCACUGUGAUCACAAGACAGUCAAUGCGAAUUUCAGGAACUACUACGAGGGGCUUUUCAAACAGGAGAACUGAGGCGCAGAUAUGUUUAACAAUACGGGUGAAAGAGUCGUGGCUUGAGCUACUCUUUACAGCCGCGGGGAGAGAUUACAGUAUCGCUGCAUAAAGUGUUCGCAGCUGUCCUUCAGAGCGGCUUAUGAAACGGCCUUGGCGAGAGCUUAAGCCUGUCUUGCAGAUGUCAUGAAAACCUGCACCCGAUGUUCUUAAAUGUCUCUACCCCUCAGUUCGCCUGUUUGAAGACUCUCGUAGAAGUUGCUCAUCCUCGGGUUUGAGUAUGAGGUGUGUUUCAGUUUCAUUCCUACAAGCAAAGAAGAUAUAAAAUAAGAGAAAUGGAAGGGAAAAAAACGGGAGAGAGGAAGACACUGUGAACAUCAAACUAAAUAAGCAAGUAAAAAUAAAUUAAUAGGCUAAAGAGGACGUGUUUCAGUUUCCUUCCCACACCAAACACUCUUUAAUAUGUGUUUCGUAAGAGUACAGGAUGUGUUUCAGUUUCCUUCCCACACCAAAACACUCUUUAAUAUGUGUUUCGUAAGAGUACAGGAUGUGUUUCAGUUUCCUUCCCACACCAAAACACUCUUUAAUAUGUGUUUCGUAAGAGUACAGGAUGUGUUUCAGUUUCCUUCCCACACCAAAACACUCUUUAAUAUGUGUUUCGUAAGAGUACAGGAUAUGUUUCAGUUUCCUUCCCACACCAAACACUCUUUAAUAUGUGUUUCGUAAGAGUACAGGAUGUGUUUCAGUUUCCUUCCCAUACCAAACACUCUUUAAUAUGUGUUUCGUAAGAGUACAGGAUGUGUUUCAGUUUCCUUCCCAC